rnacentral:rRNA from 1 species
AGUGAACGCUGGCGGUAGGCCUAACACAUGCAAGUCGAACGGCAGCACAGUAAGAGCUUGCUCUUACGGGUGGCGAGUGGCGGACGGGUGAGGAAUACAUCGGAAUCUACUUUUUCGCGGGGGAUAACGUAGGGAAACUUACGCUAAUACCGCAUACGACCUACGGGUGAAAGCAGGGGAUCUUCGGACCUUGCGCGAUUGAAUGAGCCGAUGUCGGAUUAGCUAGUUGGCGGGGUAAAGGCCCACCAAGGCGACGAUCCGUAGCUGGUCUGAGAGGAUGAUCAGCCACACUGGAACUGAGACACGGUCCAGACUCCUACGGGAGGCAGCAGUGGGGAAUAUUGGACAAUGGGCGCAAGCCUGAUCCAGCCAUACCGCGUGGGUGAAGAAGGCCUUCGGGUUGUAAAGCCCUUUUGUUGGGAAAGAAAAGCAGCAGGUUAAUACCCCGCUGUUCUGACGGUACCCAAAGAAUAAGCACCGGCUAACUUCGU